CUCUAACCCCGAUAGGAGCGGCAUCCUUUUUUUCACCUUUCGGGUGGAAAAAAGAUAUAGCGGAUAGCGGGACGAUGU
rnacentral:sRNA from 1 species